CGGUACAGUCGGUGACAGGUGGUGCAUGGUUGUCGUCAGCUCGUGUCGUGAGAUGUUGGGUUAAGUCCCGCAACGAGCGCAACCCUAUUGUUAGUUGCCAUCAUUCAGUUGGGCACUCUAGCGAGACUGCCGGUAAUAAACCGGAGGAAGGUGGGAUGACGUCAAAUCAUCAUGCCCUUAUGACCUGGGCUACACACGUGCUACAAUGGUUGGUACAACGAGUUGCGAGUCGGUGACGGCGAGCUAAUCUCUUAAAGCCAAUCUCAGUUCGGAUUGUAGGCUGCAACUCGCCUACAUGAAGUCGGAAUCGCUAGUAAUCGCGGAUCAGCACGCCGCGGUGAAUACGUUCCCGGGCCUU
rnacentral:rRNA from 1 species